AUGGAAAGUGCUGCGACAUUUGAGUGUCGCCGGUGGGCACCCUCCAUGGAACCUAAGCUGUUCUAGAACGUCACUGCCCUGCUGUGGUGACUUUGUCAGGGGUUAUCAAUCUCUGGCAUCCUGAUAGCCAUGGGGAAAUUUGUCAGGAACAGGAAAUGGUUUGUUCAGCAUGGAUGUUGUCCUAUAAGAUGCCGGAAGGCUGGCUGGAGACUCCAGGUAACGCUGCAAAAGGCUCGUGUGCUUGAGGGAUGCCUGGACUCGCCACCGCAGUCACACAGCCGAAGUGCUUGCUGAUGGGGAGAGACUCUGAAAUGGGGAAUGGAAGAUGCCGGACUGGAGCCGCAGCUUCCAGUGCAUCUCCAGGCUCCAGCGCGCCCUCAUCUGAGGUGACGAACAUCUCAUCUCCCCUGUCUCUAGUUUGCCCUGAUAGGGACUUUGUACCAUCCAGGGGAGAGAGAUGGUCAGUGACCAAGGAUCUCAGUUCAGCCCUGAGCUGAGUUUUUUCCUCCCGUAGAGUCCAAGAGGCCGUAUUCUACAAGAUAUACCAUAGCACGGGUUUCCAAAAUCCGGCCAUAAGGCCAGCGUGUACUCGAGCAUUUCAAUUGAGGGAAUUUAAAGUACC